rnacentral:rRNA from 1 species
UGGCAGCAGUGAGGAAUCUUGCGCAAUGGGGGCAACCCUGACGCAGCAACGCCGCGUGAGUGAGGAAGGUCUUCGGAUCGUAAAGCUCUGUCAGUUGGGAAGAAACGCUUGGAAGCCAAUACCUUUCAUGCUUGACGGUACCAACAGAGGAAGCACCGGCUAACUCCGUGCCAGCAGCCGCGGUAAUACGGAGGGUGCAAGCGUUGUUCGGAAUUAUUGGGCGUAAAGAGCGUGUAGGCGGCCGGAUAUGUCAGAUGUGAAAGCCCUGGGCUUAACCCAGGAAGUGCAUUUGAAACUGUCCGGCUAGAGUAGGGGAGAGGGAAGUGGAAUUCCUGGUGUAGAGGUGAAAUUCGUAGAUAUCAGGAGGAACACCGGUGGCGAAGGCGACUUCCUGGCCCUAUACUGACGCUGAGACGCGAGAGCGUGGGUAGCAAACAGGAUUAGAUACCCCUGUAGUC